GCGAAAACUUUACAAUGCUGGCAACAGCGAUAAGGGAACCUCGAGUGCCAGGUUACAAAUCUGGCUGUCGAGAUGCCUAAAAGCAUUUCAUAGCAAGGGCCGGGCAAGACCGGUGCCAGCCGCCGCGGUAACACCGGCGGCUCGAGUGGUAACCGUUAUUAUUGGGUCUAAAGGGUCUGUAGCCGGCCGGAUAAGUCGCUUGAGGAAUCUGGCAGCUUAACUGUCAGGCUUUCAGGAGAUACUGUCUGGCUCGAGGCCGGGAGAGGUGAGAGGUACUUCAGGUGUAGGGGUGAAAUCUUGAAAUCCUUGAAGGACCACCAGUGGCGAAGGCGUCUCACCAGAACGGACCUGACGGCAAGGGACGAAAGCUAGGGGCACGAACC
rnacentral:rRNA from 1 species